rnacentral:rRNA from 1 species
GUACAGGAGGGAUGCAAGCGUUAUCCAACAUGACUGGGCGUAAAGGGUCCGUAGACUGUAAAAUAAGUUACUUGUUAAAUUUUAAAGCCCAACUUUAAAAUAGCAUGUAAUACUGUUUUACUUGAGUUUUAUACAGAAGAGUAGAAUUUUAUACGAAGGGGUGAAAUCCGUAGAUAUAUAAAGGAGUACCAGUAGCGAAGGCGACUCUUUAGUAAAAACUGACGUUGAGGGACGAAAGUGUAGGGAGCAAACAGGA